GCUGGAAUUGAACUCAGGACCUCUGGAAGAGUAACCAGUGCUCUUAACCACUGAGCCAUCUCUCCAGCCCUUGAGCAACAUUUUAAAGACCCUUCUCUAAAAUAAAGACAAAUAGAUUGGAGGCUUACUGUAUAUAGAAUCAUAUGAGGCAUUUCAGCUAUUCUCCCAGGACUUUGUUGCUUAGCAAGGGGAUUUGACUACAUCAAGAUAUCCAACUGUACCACCAGCAUGACACACCUGCCCAUUAGCCUGUAUCUAAAGUUCCUGGAGAAAUGAAGGAAAAUUGUUUGCUGGGAAGCUUAAUUGAAAAAUCUGUUUGAAAUGGGCCAGGAGGUAGCCCAAAAUAGGUUUCACACUAAUGUAUAUCAGGAUCUUGGUAAUGAUCCAGCCGGAGAAGGACUGACUCCAAACUGCAUGUGCAUGAGAGCUAUUCUUCACUGAACUAAAAAUCAACCUGAGAUGCCAUUUUGAAGUCUUUGUUUGAAAGGAACUAAAAUUAAACCAUAAAGACAAUUUUUCGAGCCGUGUUUUCUGAGGCACACGUAUUCAAGCCGAUCUUAAUUCUGUUAUGCUUUAGACAUAUUGACUUUUUCCUAUGCCAGAAGAGAAAAUACUGGACACUCUAUUUUGAGUUGUUACUACCACCCCCUCAACAUACCUCCCACACUUCCUAAGCACCUAUUCUGGUUUAUUAAAUUCAACAAGCCAUUUGCAUAAGAUAUUGCAUAAUAUUUCAUUUACUGUCUGUGUUUUCCUUUGGAAUACAAGCCACAUGAAGGAAGAGAUUUUAGUCAGUGUAAUCAGUACCAUAUCCCUAGGGCCUAGCAGCACACAUUUUGUAUUCAACAGAUGUUACUGAAUGAAUGAACUGGCACUAAGUAAAACAUCUACCUCCUUAUAUAUAUAUAUAUAUUCCAGCUCAGAUUCAUGCAAUGUGCAUUUUAAGUACAUCUAUAUAGAAUCUUUUGUUUAUCCUUUUACUUUUGGAAGUGCAUAAGCAAUGCUUCUUACAAAUAAUAAAGGUAUGGUGAAAUUUUCUUGUCUUUCAGUUAGCCAAUUAGCCCACCAUUUAAGAAUGCAUUCUUAAUGAUCAAAAUGAUGAUUGAUGGGUAAAAUGGGCAAGGGGUUAAGGUAUGACAUUAAGAUUAAGGCCAGGACUCUGCCUUUAACGCAUUAUAAUCAACAUCAGACACAAACAAUGAAUCCAUAUGUUAAAUAAAAAUAGGUAAAAGACUAUGAGAUGGGCUGAGCCGAUAAAGUGGAUGGGGGCAAAUGUGGAGACCUAAGUUCAGAUCCUUAGAACCCAUGUAAGGCAGAACAGGACACAGCAGAACAUCUGUAAUCUGCAUAUGCCUACAAACAGAUGGAGUGGAGACAGGAGCUCCAAGAGCAGCUAGCCUUGACAGAUGCAGGUGCAAACAACAAGAGACCCCGUCUCAAGCAAGGUAGAAGGUGAGGACUAACAUCCAAG